GAAACUUUUUACUGGUCCUGGAACAAAUAUUUUGACUUGAAUACUUUGAGAAAUCUCUUCAUAUGACACCUAGUGAGCUUUUAAAAUUUACCAGGAAAUUUGCAACGGUUGGAAAAUUUAGAAAGAUUUAUGAUGUAGAAAAAUACUUUUGAGAUCUUUGUAUGAGAGGAAUUGAGUCAGUGAGGGAACACUGCUGGUUUCAUUUUCGUAAUCACCAGUGGGGCGUCUGAUCAUCCUGGUUGUUAUGUGAUAGAUGGCUCACAUUGAUUUGUGAUUUUGAAACAAAUAAAAAAAAUUUACAAAAGAAUAUAUAAGAGCAGGCAAGAAAUUUAAAUUACCAAGAGAUGGGGGAAAAUCUGUUCUUCCUAAAGAAAUCCCUUCAGAUAGAGCUCAUGGUGUUUAGUGAUGUACUUGCAGUAUCGUUUGAAGAAUUGUUUUGUCUUAAGGAAGAUGAGAUGUUGCACACGUUUGGAUGGCAGCAAGUCAGCAAAGGCGACCUGAGUUGGAUAUAUUUGGAGGUAUUUUGAGAGUUACGUUUAAGGCUAACACCUGAGCUUUGUGUGAUGUAAAUAAGACCUUGUGUUUAUGAACCUUUCAGCUAAUUUUAUUUUUUUCCCUUACAUAUCAAGUGAUGUUCAGGUUUUGAAUGUUUUGUAUCAGUUCUUUUCUUUGUAAAUGGCAUUAACAUUGUUACUUGAGGUCUUGCUUAUUCAGUUCUGUUGUCCUGAGGACUUGAAUUUACAGUGCAUCAGAUUCGUUGGCUAAUUCUGUCUGUAGAUAGUCUAGCUUCAGCUGUUUAUGGUGAUGCUACAUUUUCGUUUAUAAAUAUGUUUGUGGUAAAAAAAAAAGAAAAAAAUGAGUAUAACCAUAGGUUUUGAACAAAUUUCCUUUUUCAUACAAAAAUCAUAAAUAUCUGUAUGCUAUUGAAAUUUAACUUUGUAUGAUGCUUAAACCACUAUUUGGGGAAAUAAUAAAAUAAGUCUUUACCAUGUAUGAAAGAAAUUUUAAAAAAUACAAAAUAUUUUCUGAUUAGCAUCUAGCUUAUAAUAAAUUUUCAAAAAAGCUGAAGGCAACUGUGGCCUUCAUCAGGAUGCACUGAGAACUAUAUAGUUACGUCCUGCGUUUUGUAUAAACUGAGAUGCUCAUGUGCUUCCCCUUAGAACAGGCAAUGUGCUAUGCAUAACAUAGUUGUACAUUAUCUUUGCAGUUGCUUUGAGUUUUAUUUUUUAUUAUUUAAAACUGUAGUUAUAAAAAUUUUCAGUAUAGUACAGUACAUAUACUGUGAGGCGCGUGCUAAAGUGAACAAGCGAGUUUUCAUGCUGACCCACUCAAUGCUAUUCAGAACUCAAUUGGCUUAGCACUUUCUCAUAUCCUUAGGUGCAUUUAGAUUGUCAGAGUU
rnacentral:lncRNA from 1 species